rnacentral:rRNA from 1 species
UACGUAGGUGGCAAGCGUUGUCCGGAUUUACUGGGCGUAAAGAGCGCGCAGGCGGUCGUUCAAGUCGCGUGUGAAAGCCCCCGGCUCAACUGGGGGGGGUCACGCGAUACUGAUCGACUGGAAGGCAGGAGAGGGUAGUGGAAUUCCCGGUGUAGUGGUGAAAUGCGUAGAUAUCGGGAGGAACACCAGUGGCGAAGGCGACUACCUGGCCUGUUCUUGACGCUGAGGCGCGAAAGCUAGGGGAGCAAACGGG